rnacentral:rRNA from 1 species
AUGGCUUUGGCGAUCCCAGAUGUUUUCAAGAACACAGUACAUAAGUUAUGCCGCUGGCACAUUACGAAGAAGUACAGGGAACACAUCGCGCACCUAUACGACCUGUACAAAACCUUUAAGGAUGAAUUCACAACAAUCCUCAACUGGCCCCUCGUGCCAACUGAAAUUGAGACUUCCUGGAAAGAUCUCAUGGAUAGGUACAACCUCCAUGAUGAUGCCACGAUGGUGGCAAUGUGGAACGAGCGCGAGAAAUGGAUAUCAGCUUACUUCAAAGAAAUUUUCUGUGCUAGAAUGACAUCGACACAAUGGAGUGAGAGCAUGAACUAUGUGCUGAAGAAGAACUACGUAUGUGAGAGACAAAACCUACACCGGUUUGUCAGCCAGAAUAAAACAAACACGCUGACCCUCUAUGGGUUCGACACUCAGAUGGCAAAAGUUUACUCACGAGUUGUGUAUAGCGAUAUCAGAAAAAGGGUAAAGCUGAGCACCCUCUUCACGGUGACGGACACGGAAGAGCCCACAAAGUACCGUGUACGCUACAACAAACCGCAAACAUCGUCUGAGUGGUCUCAGCACGCGUUCCAGGUGGUUGCAGACCCCAUGGGAGAAAUAUACGACUGCGAGUGCAAGCUCUAG